AGUGUUACUGUUUUGUGGUCGAUUCUGGGAUCCUUUUCUUGGUGUGUCUUGAUGUUUUCUAUUGGCUAAAGACAUGCCUCUGUGAAACUGACAAUCUCGGGUAGGAGCUGCUGGUUUGUGGUUGGCAGUAUGGAUCACGGUCUGCGACUCAUGAGGAGCUGGACUGGAGACAUGAAGAGGUUGUCAACAGGUGUGUUCCUAUACUGUACCAAAAUGAGAUAGGGAUCAGUCAUGAGGG